rnacentral:lncRNA from 1 species
CACAAGGCACUUGUAACAAUACCAUUAGAAACUCUCUAUAAUGGCCUAGUACUCAGUAAGGAUUGAAGUUUUGGUGACUGUAGCUAUCAUUAUGAAUGCCAGUGGGCUAGUGAUAGUAAUAAUCAUGGACAAUCCAUUAGUUUAGCAUAGCUCUCAUAGAUCUACAGGUAACUAGGUCCACAGGAACCAUUCAAGUCAUUGGGCUAUGCACAGAUAUGAGGCUAUGUCCUCAUAUAUCCAGAUAUGAGGCAAUGUGAAGAGUCAGCAUAAGCUUCCCAGCACUUCUCCCUGCCAAGUUCUGCCUUUGGACAUAACAAAUGCUGUUUGAGCUCAGAUCCUGGAGAGGCUGACUGAAGAAUCACUGGUAACUGUGAAAUCUGAAAGUUCAAGUGGAGUAGCUGUGACAGAUACCUAUGAGAUCUGGAAUCCUGCACUAAAUGAGCCUACACUGAAGCAGUGGGCCAAGAGCCUGGAUGUUUGCAAGGUCAAGGUGCAAACUAGACAUGGGGAAUCGGUGAAGUGAACUCGAUCCUGAAACACAGCUCUGAGACAUCAAGUUCUUCCAUGUUCACCACUAAAGUAGAAGACAUCUCUAAGUUGUCAAGAAGCAAUUUCUUGGGUGUGCCUCCUUGGAAAAGAAGUUGUAAGUACAGGAAUUCACCAAGAUUUGAGUGUUUGUUACAUGAAAAGCAUGGUAGCAUGUGAAGUUAAAAUGAUAAGGUG